GCCUUCCCUAGCUCUAUGCAGACAAAGGGCUGUGAAGUGGCCUGGCCAGUGUCCCUCCUGACCUCUGAGUACAGAAUUCCCACAUGACCACUGGGACACAUGAGGUGCCAGGAAACUUAUGGUGUAUCUCUCGUACUCAUCCACUGGGCGUUCCAUACAGAUUAGGGGAGGUGAUGAACUCGGCGGAUUUGGGCACAACAAGGAGGAUACCAUUUGGUGCCCAUUUAGUUGCUGUGCCUGUUAUGGCUUAGGAAUUACAAAAGCUGAUGAAAUACGGGAUGAAGGGAGUGCUGCUGUAAUCUGGUGUAGCGGAAGGAAUGGCCACCUAGUUUCGCUUUCCAACUACAAACACCAUGGGGAUCUCGUGGUUUAAGGGCCAGACCAAAUGAUUUCGAGGGCCUGGACCGGACGUUCCCCACUGCUGCAAGGGAUAAAUAAAUCAUGUACCAGAUACUAUUGGAUAAAACUCACAGGCACAUUACUCAUCCUGGCAAGACUGGGGGAAAAUGACUAUUUUCUGACAUUCACUUUUUAAGGAGAUUUACUUAUUUUCCUAUUGGAUUGACCGUGUUGACCUUCUCACUAUGUGUUGCUACACCAGCCGUGGGCAAACUACGGCCCGCAGGCCGGAUUCGACC